CCUACGGGAGGCAGCAGUGAGGAAUAUUGGUCAAUGGGCGGGAGCCUGAACCAGCCAAGUCGCGUGAGGGAAGACGGUCCUAUGGAUUGUAAACCUCUUUAGGCGGGGAGCAAUGCCGGGCACGAGUGCCCGGAGGGAGAGUACCCGCAGAAUAAGCAUCGGCUAACUCGGUGCCAGCAGCCGCGGUAAUACGGAGGAUGCGAGCGUUAUCCGGAUUUUUUGGGUUUAAAGGGUGCGUAGGCGGAUUUUUAAGUCAGGGGGAAAAGGUCGGGGCUCAACCCGGGCCGGCCGUUGAAACUGGGGAUCUUGAGUGGGCGAGAAGUAUGCGGAAUGCGUGGGGUAGCGGUGAAAUGCAUAGAUAUCGCGCAGAACUCCGAUUGCGAAGGCAGCAUACCGGCGCCCGACUGACGCUGAGGCACGAAAGCGUGGGGAUCGAACAGGAUUAGAUACCCUUGUAGUC
rnacentral:rRNA from 1 species